UACGUAGGGGGCAAGCGUUGUCCGGAUUUAUUGGGCGUAAAGAGCGUGUAGGCGGCCAUACAGGUCAGCUGUGAAAACUCGAGGCUCAACCUCGAGACGUCGGUUGAAACCGUAUGGCUAGAGUCCGGAAGAGGAGAGUGGAAUUCCCGGUGUAGCGGUGAAAUGCGCAGAUAUCGGGAAGAACACCUAUGGCGAAGGCAGCUCUCUGGGACGGUACUGACGCUGAGACGCGAAAGCCGUGGGGAGCGAAGCAGGAUAGAA
rnacentral:rRNA from 1 species